rnacentral:rRNA from 1 species
UACGGGAGGCAGCAGUGGGGAAUAUUGCACAAUGGGCGCAAGCCUGAUGCAGCCAUGCCGCGUGUAUGAAGAAGGCCUUCGGGUUGUAAAGUACUUUCAGCGGGGAGGAAGGCGAUGUGGUUAAUAACCGCGUCGAUUGACGUUACCCGCAGAAGAAGCACCGGCUAACUCCGUGCCAGCAGCCGCGGUAAUACGGAGGGUGCAAGCGUUAAUCGGAAUUACUGGGCGUAAAGCGCACGCAGGCGGUCUGUUAAGUCAGAUGUGAAAUCCCCGGGCUUAACCUGGGAACUGCAUUUUGAAACUGGCAGGCUUGAGUCUCGUAGAGGGGGUGAAAUUCCAGGUGUAGCGGUGAAAUGCGUAGAGAUCUGGAGGAAUACCGGUGGCGAAGGCGGCCCCUGGGACGAAGACUGACGCUCAGGUGCGAAAGCGUGGGGAGCAAACAGGAUUAGGAUACC